rnacentral:tRNA from 1 species
GCCGGAGUAGCUUAGUGGUAAAGCGCCACGCUCAUAACGUGGAGAUCGCGAGUUCAAUUCUCGUCUCCGGCA